rnacentral:rRNA from 2 species
AGGAGAGUGGAAUUCCCCGUGUAGCGGUGAAAUGCGUAGAGAUGUGGAGGAACACCAGUGGCGGAAGGGCGACUCUCUGGUCUGUAACUGACGCUGAGGAGCGAAAAGCGUGGGGAGCGAACAGGAUUAGAUACCCUGGUAGUCCACGCCGUAAACGAUGAGUGCUAAGUGUUAGGGGGUUUCCGCCCCUUAGUGCUGCAGCUAACGCAUUAAGCACUCCGCCUGGGGAGUACGGUCGCAAGACUGAAACUCAAAGGAAUUGACGGGGGCCCGCACAAGCGGUGGAGCAUGUGGUUUAAUUCGAAGCAACGCGAAGAACCUUACCAGGUCUUGACAUCCUCUGACAACCCUAGAGAUAGGGCUUUCCCUUCGGGGACAGAGUGACAGGUGGUGCAUGGUUGUCGUCAGCUCGUGUCGUGAGAUGUUGGGUUAAGUCCCGCAACGAGCGCAACCCUUGAUCUUAGUUGCCAGCAUUCAGUUGGGCACUCUAAGGUGACUGCCGGUGACAAACCGGAGGAAGGUGGGGAUGACGUCAAAUCAUCAUGCCCCUUAUGACCUGGGCUACACACGUGCUACAAUGGACAGAACAAAGGGCUGCAAGACCGCAAGGUUUAGCCAAUCCCAUAAAUCUGUUCUCAGUUCGGAUCGCAGUCUGCAACUCGACUGCGUGAAGCUGGCAUCGCUAGUAAUCAGCCGUUCUUGC